ACGAGAGUGGUGUAGCGGCAACAUGCCGGUCUCCAAAACCGUGCGUCGAGGGUUCAAAUCCUUCCUCUCGUGCCA
rnacentral:tRNA from 1 species